rnacentral:rRNA from 1 species
GAUGAACGCUGGCGGCGUGCCUAAUACAUGCAAGUCGAGCGAACGGACGAGAAGCUUGCUUCUCUGAUGUUAGCGGCGGACGGGUGAGUAACACGUGGAUAACCUACCUAUAAGACUGGGAUAACUUCGGGAAACCGGAGCUAAUACCGGAUAAUAUUUUGAACCGCAUGGUUCAAAAGUGAAAGACGGUCUUGCUGUCACUUAUAGAUGGAUCCGCGCUGCAUUAGCUAGUUGGUAAGGUAACGGCUUACCAAGGCAACGAUGCAUAGCCGAGCUGAGAGAGUGAUCGGCCACACUGGAGCUGAGACACGGUCCAGACUCCUACGGGAGGCAGCAGUAGGGAAUCUUACGCAAUGGGCGAAAGCAUGACGGAGCAGCGCCGCGCGAGUGAUGAAGGUCUUGGGAUCGUAAAAAUCUGUUAUUAGGGAAGAACCUAUGUGUAAGUAAAUGUGGACAUAUUGACGGUACCUAAUCAGAAAGCCACGGCUAACUACGUG